rnacentral:lncRNA from 1 species
CCCAAUAAAAAAAAAAAUAAACAUGCUUCAAAUGAGUUGAAAUUAUUGGCUUAAAUGGGGUCAGCAUCAUGCCUUGUGGCAGGAGGUUAUGUUAGGCCUAGUCAUGUUCGAAAUAGCGGGAGGCUAGGUUGGCCGAAUCAUGUUCGAAGUGGCGAGAGACUGGAUGGGUCAAGUCACAAUCGAGACUCGUGGACGUUGUAUCUAUACGCUUUAAGUGAAUUAGUUGCCUAUUUCUAACGGCUCGAGUUUUUGGAAUUAAUGGUUAACGCCAACGAUUCGACAAAAAUGAACCCCUCGUGAUCAUCUCCUCUUUAUUAACUACUCAAUUAUUAUUAUUAUUAUUAUUAUUAUUAUUAGAU